ACAAUUGCGUAAAUCUAAAAUGAAAAAAAAUUGAUAAAUUAAGAUUAUACACGCACACGCCUCUGCUACAGUGAAACCAAAAAAUCCCUAACUGUUGCUACAUCCCUCACGCCGUCCCUCACGCACUGCUACAACCACCACGGCGGCGCUAGUCCCUCACGCCGUCGCCGGUCUUUCCCCGCCGCCAUUCGUCCCUCACGUCGUCGCCAGUCCUUCCCCGGCGCCGCUGCUACAGUUCUCAGCGCGGUGCUGCUCCGUUCUCACGCUGUCGCAACACCUUCCUCGGCGCCGCUCGUUCCUCAGUCUGCAGGUGUUCCUCACGCCGUUGCCGAUUCUUCCCCGGCACCGCUCGUCCCUCAAUUUGCAGGUGAAAUAGAUAGAAAGGGAGAUGAAUCAUACAUAAUAAUUUUGAUUUUCCCCAGGAGAUUUUAGCCUUUUAGGCACUCGAUCAAUGUGAGGUUUUCCUGAAUGAAUUGGGCGUAACCGGAGUAAUUGCGGAUGAUCCUACUCAUGCCUUUUAGUCUUUGAAGGGGUGAGAGAGACUAGAGUAGUUGCAAGCACUCGAGCUGCAAAAAUAUAUGGACUUGAUGUUCUUGGUGAAGGAAUACAUGACGAUUCUGACAAUGUUACUCGUUUUCUGAGACUUGCAAGUGAACCUAUAAUCCCGGGAACAGCUAGAGCUCAUAAGGCAUUGAGAGUGGCCAGGGAAACAGAUUCAUAGUCACAACUAUCGCGUUCCUGAUCCCUUUCUUGAUCAGGUUGUGGUGCUAAUCGGGAGUGAUGCAAGUGCUGAUGAUAUCUCCCAAGAUAUUGCUAAAUUAGCAAAAGAUUUUUUUCAUGUAGAUUAAAGCUAGUUGGAUGGUUGAAUUUGUUGGAUGAUUGGUGGUGAAUGUUAAAGGUUGGAGAUUGUAUUAGAGAUUUUUUAGUAGAUAAAUGAAGGCGUAGUUAGAGACGAUACAAUUGUGGAUGUAAUGGAUUUUGAUGAAAUAUCAAAUAAAAUGUUUGACUUUUAUGGGAUUAA